rnacentral:rRNA from 1 species
AAAUGAAUAGACGGGACCCCGCACAAGCGGUGGAUCAUGUUGUUUAAUUCGAGGAUACACGAAAAACCUUACCAGGCCUUGACAUACUCUGCAAAGACUUAGAAAUAAGUACGGAGGUUAACAGAGAUACAGGUGGUGCACGGUUGUCGUCAGCUCGUGUCGUGAGAUGUUGGGUUAAGUCCCGCAACGAGCGCAACCCCUGUUGCUAGUUACCAUCAUUAAGUUGGGGACUCUAGCGAGACUGCCAGUGAUAAACUGGAGGAAGGUGGGGAUGACGUCAAAUCAUCAUGCCCCUUAUGGCCUGGGCUACAAACGUGAUACAAUGGCUGAAACAAAGAGCAGCGAGAGGGUGACCUUAAGCGAAACUCAUAAAAGCAGUCUCAGUUCGGAUUGAAGUCUGCAACUCGACUUCAUGAAGCAGGAAUCGCUAGUAAUCGCGAAUCAGAAUGUCGCGGUGAAUACGUUCUCGGGGUUUGUACACACCGCCCGU